ensembl:miRNA gga-mir-757 gga-mir-757
CCCGGUGACUUUCUCGCAGAGCUGCAGAUGGGAUUCUCGCUAUGAGCUCUCUGCUGCUCAGUCGGAUACACUCAGUGCUGUA